CAACCACGUCUCCUCAACCAAUAUCUGUCAUUUACCUGCAUCUCCCGCCUUCUCUCCCACUUUUAUCUCUUCACCGCUCCCUCUCGCUCCCCGGUCACUCUCUCACCUGUUUCUCUGUCUUCUUCCAUCUCACACUGCAGCACAACAAGAAGAGAAAUGUUACAGCUGAAUAAAACAUCACAGGACCAGGGAGACAGUGUGCACCAGCUACACGGCCAGCAAAACAGCUCCAGAGCGUGAUACUACCACCACCGUCCUCGAAACAUACCUCCUGUGACUGGAGGGCUGCAGGCUCUUGUUUGUUUGCCCGUGGGAUCAGUAACAAUGGACGGCUCCUUUCUUGCAGCAUAGCCUCUCACUUGACUGAUGACAAUGUACCUGUGAUCCAGCUUCUACAUCAUGGCAGACUAGUUUGUUUUGGUGAGUCUUGGAUUACAUCUGACCAUCCGCACCAACUAUCUCUCAGCAAAGUGUGACAGUUUGGGUUUUCUUCGUGGCAAAGAAACCACUGUUCUUUGCAUUAAUGAUCUUGGGGCCUGACAUUGCUUAAAGAUGGCCCCUUGUGCACUUUCUCAGAUCUAUACUGAACUCUUUCGACUUUCAAUUAGAUGUUUGUGGCUCAGCCCAGUCAAGCAAGCCCUACAGGCACAGAAAAGUGUCCAACUGUAGUAAAUCAUGAUCACUGACAUGAAAUGAAGAUGUUCAGUGACAUUUUACUUUCUAUGCACCCAGUAGCUAAUUCACAAUAAAUGGUACUGUAUGCUGAA